rnacentral:rRNA from 1 species
UACGGAGGGUGCAAGCAUUAAUCGGAAUUAUUGGGCGUAAAGGGCGCGUAGGCGGAUAUAUAAGUCAGAUGUGAAAUUCCGAGGCUCAACUUCGGAGCUGCAUUUGAAACUAUAAAUCUCGAGGAUUGGCGGAGAGAAUGGAAUUCCACGUGUAGCGGUGAAAUGCGUAGAUAUGUGGAAGAACACCGGUGGCGAAAGCGGUUCUCUAGCUUAUUCCUGACGCUGAGGCGCGAGAGCAAGGGGAGCAAACAGG